CCAAUAGCGUAUAUUAAAGUUGUUGCAGUUAAAAAGCUCGUAGUUGAAUUUCGGGGUUAGUAGGUUGGUCAUGCCUCUGGUAUGUACUGGUCUCACUGAUUCCUCCUUCCUGAUGAACCUUAAUGCCAUUAAUUUGGUGUUUUGGGGAAUUUGGACUGUUACUUUGAAAAAAUUAGAGUGUUUAAAGCAAGCUAACGCUUGAAUACAUUAGCAUGGAAUAAUGAAAUAGGACGUUCGAUCCUAUUUUGUUGGUUUCUGGGAUUGACGUAAUGAUUAAUAGGGAUAGUUGGGGGCAUUAGUAUUCAAUUGUCAGAGAUGAAAUUCUUGAAUUUAUUGAAGACUAACUACUGCGAAAGUAUUUGCCAAGGAUGUUUUCAUUAAUCAAGAACGAAAGUUAGGGGAUCGAAGACGAUCAGAUACCGUCGUAGUCUUAACCAUAAACUAUGCCGACUAGGGAUCGGAUGAUGUUAAUUUUUUAAUGACUCAUUCGGCGCCUUACG
rnacentral:misc_RNA from 1 species